ensembl:lncRNA
CUGAAGCUGAAGCUCCAGUACUUUGGCUAUCUGAUAUGAAGAGCUGACUCGUUAGAAAAGACCCUGAUGCUGGGAAAGAUUGAAGGCAGGAGGAGAAGGGGAUGACAGAAGAUGAGAUGGUUGGAUGGCAUCACCAACUCGAUGGACCUGAGUUUGAGGAAGCUCCAGGAGUUGGUGAAGGACAGGGAAGCCUGGUGUGCUGCAGUCCAUGGUGUCACAAAGAAUCAGACACGACUGAGUGACUGAAUAACAACAUUGAAGUCCCAAUAUCCUACUAACAGUAAUUCACAAAGGGAGAACAGAGAAAAUGGGAGGGAGGAAAUUAGCAAAGAAAUAAUGAAAGGAAAAAAGUACAGAUAAAGUCAAAAGAACCCUUGAGUAUCUAGCACAAUCAGUGAAAAGAGAAACAUUCUAAGGCACACCACUGUGAACUUUCAGACUGCUAGAGACAAUGGGAAGAUUCUAGAAGGAAAAUAGGUCAGAUACAGAGGAAUGGGAACUCGAAAGGUAUUAGAUAUUUCAACGCAAUGCUGGAGUUAAAAGACAAUGGAACGAUUCUCUUAAAAAGCAAAGGGAAAAUGAUCUGCAACUUAUCCAAAUGGUCAGUCAAGGAUGAGACUAGAAAAGAGACAUUUUCAGACAGUCAAGCCCUCUAAAAAUUUAUCUUCCAUGCACCCCUUCUGAUGUGAAUGGAUAAUUUCAUUUCUCGGAACUGUUUCUUGGAACUGUUCCAGUGAACAAAAAUAUAAAAAGUGCAAUCCAGCUUUGCAACCUCAUAUUCAAAAUGCAGAAAAACUUCAGGGUAAUAAAGACAGAAUUUGGGGGAACUGUCCUUGAAAAAAGAGUAUUGGUAAAACAAAGUUAAGAAUAGCAAUUAAAGAUCUAAAUGUAAAUAGUGAAAUGGAUAUUUUUGAAGAAAUUAAGCUGCAUUAAAACUUUGAGGAAAACUAGUUGAUGUAUUCUUCAACCUCCUGAAGGUCAUUGAGUUUUAAUUAGUUUAAAAGCUUAAAAAUUCAACUAGUAUUUACUGAAUUCCUUUCAUAUCUCAGGCCUUGUCAUUGAUGUAUUCACUUACAUGCUCUCUAUGAACAAUUCUGCAGAUUUGAUGAAGCAUCAGUAGUGGGGGGACUAGAGGAUACUGGAUUUCUGCGGG